rfam:Parcubacteria bacterium GW2011_GWF2_44_8 TW75_C0031, whole genome shotgun sequence.
GGGCUCUUAGCUCAUUUGGUAGAGCGCUUCCAUGGCAUGGAAGAGGUAAGGGGUUCGAUUCCCCUAGAGUCCA